AUCUGGUCUCCCUACGUUCACUUUACGACUCAGCUGCUCUUCCUGUACAGAACAGGCAGUGACCCUUCUAGAACUCAAACUCCUGCUCUAAAGUUUUCAUUGGUUCCCAGGGGCCGUUGGGCCUUCAAAAGACAUUUAUAUUGAUCUGACCACUGACAGUUACUAGAAAUGGUUACUGGUUGGUAGGUUGAGAAAGACUGAGAACCAAGACACCAGAUAACCCCUCAGUCCCUCAGUAUUGUGGGAUUCCAGUUAUCCCCUGCUUCCUUAUUAUCGUAAGGCAAGUACAGUCCUUCCCUGGAGGCAGAGACCAGAAAUGCCACUUGGAGCCCUGAGAAUGUAGUCUUCUGGAAGCGAGACACACUGGUUUACCUGGAGAGCCUGGCCAGCCCACCUGGACCCGAGGACAUGCCUGCCAUAAUACCGCUCCUGUCAGACUUGCAUCUGGUUUGACGUUUAUACUGCCACUCACCCUUGGCCCUUUCAGGAAGUUUUCUGGUGUGUUCAGACUGUGAAAGUUCAUCAAGCAUAUGUACUUCUCUGUAUAUAUGUUGUGCUUCAAUUAAACCAAAAACAAAAAGUUACAUCACCAGUAAUGAGACAAAUCAGCAUCAUCUACCUAAGAACAACGUGGGAUCCUUUCUUGUGAUAUUCCUAUGAAAACCAAAUAACCCGAGUCUCCUCAUGAAGAAACACCCGACAAACCCAGCUGAGGGACAUCCUACUACUAACUGGCCUGUACCCUCUGAUCAUACCAAUGUUGUGAAAGACAAAGACAGAGGAACUGACCAAAGAAAAGGACACUAAAUGGACUGGACAACUGAAUGCAAGAUAUGAUCUGGGAUUUUUUGUUGUUAUUGUUACAAAAGACAUUAUUGGGACAAUUAGCACAGUAUGAAUAAGAUGGGGAACUGAGGUGGAGAGAAGAGGUCACACGGAAGACUGAAAAGGAGGUGAUAAGAUCAUUCCCCCAUAAGGUGUUACUGCCUCCCAAGGGAGGCAUUUCAUCAGGGGACCAUGUCAACUGAGCACUGAAGCUCAACUGGCAAGAUUUCAGACUCCGCAACAGGUAAGCACAGAGUUAUUCUGUGUGGGGACCUUUCUGCAAAGUAAGGCUCUCCUGAUGAGCACUGGACCAGGA